AUUGAACGCUGGCGGCUGGCUUAACACAUGCAAGUCGAGCGGAGAGAGGUAGCUUGCCACCGAUCUUAGCGGCGGACGGGUGAGUAAUGCUUAGGAAUCUGCCUAUUAGUGGGGGACAACAUUUCGAAAGGAAUGCUAAUACCGCAUACGUCCUACGGGAGAAAGCAGGGGAUCUUCGGACCUUGCGCUAAUAGAUGAGCCUAAGUCGGAUUAGCUAGUUGGUGGGGUAAAGGCCUACCAAGGCGACGAUCUGUAGCGGGUCUGAGAGGAUGAUCCGCCACACUGGGACUGAGACACGGCCCAGACUCCUACGGGAGGCAGCAGUGGGGAAUAUUGGACAAUGGGCGCAAGCCUGAUCCAGCCAUGCCGCGUGUGUGAAGAAGGCCUUAUGGUUGUAAAGCACUUUAAGCGAGGAGGAGGCUACUUUGGUUAAUACCUAGAGAUAGUGGACGUUACUCGCAGAAUAAGCACCGGCUAACUCUGUGCCAGCAGCCGCGGUAAUACAGAGGGUGCAAGCGUUAAUCGGAUUUACUGGGCGUAAAGCGCGCAUAGGCGGCUAAUUAAGUCAAAUGUGAAAUCCCCGAGCUUAACUUGGGAAUUGCAUUCGAUACUGGUUAGCUAGAGUGUGGGAGAGGAUGGUAGAAUUCCAGGUGUAGCGGUGAAAUGCGUAGAGAUCUGGAGGAAUACCGAUGGCGAAGGCAGCCAUCUGGCCUAACACUGACGCUGAGGUGCGAAAGCAUGGGGAGCAAACAGGAUUAGAUACCCUGGUAGUCCAUGCCGUGAACGAUGUCUACUAGCCGUUGGGGCCUUUGAGGCUUUAGUGGCGCAGCUAACGCGAUAAGUAGACCGCCUGGGGAGUACGGUCGCAAGACUAAACUCUAAUGAAUUUGACGGGGGCCCGCACAAGCGGUGGAGCAUGUGGUUAAUUCGAUGCAACGCGAAGAGCCUUACCUGGCCUUGACAUAGUAAGAACUUUCCAGA
rnacentral:rRNA from 1 species